UGGGCUCGAACGACUAGUAGUAGUCGGGAUGAAAGUUCCGGCGACCCGCAAGGGAGCUAGCCG
rnacentral:rRNA from 1 species